UACAGAGGUCCCAAGCGUUGUUCGGAUUCAUUGGGCGUAAAGGGUGCGUAGGUGGCGCUGUAAGUCGGGUGUGAAAUUUCGGAGCUUAACUCCGAAACUGCAUUCGAUACUGCUGCGCUAGAGUACUGGAGAGGAGAUUGGAAUUUACGGUGUAGCAGUGAAAUGCGUAGAUAUCGUAAGGAAGACCAGUGGCGAAGGCGGAUCUCUGGACAGUUACUGACGCUGAGACACGAAAGCGUGGGGAGCAAACAGG
rnacentral:rRNA from 1 species